rnacentral:rRNA from 1 species
UACAGAGGUCUCAAGCGUUGUUCGGAUUCAUUGGGCGUAAAGGGUGUGUAGGUGGCGCCGUAAGUCGGGUGUGAAAUCUCGGAGCUUAACUCCGAAACUGCAUUCGAUACUGCGGUGCUUGAGGACUGGAGAGGAGACUGGAAUUCAUGGUGUAGCAGUGAAAUGCGUAGAGAUCAUGAGGAAGACCAGUGGCGAAGGCGGGUCUCUGGACAGUUCCUGACACUGAGGCACGAAGGCCAGGGGAGCAAACGGG